rnacentral:rRNA from 1 species
GAUGAACGCUGGCGGCGUGCCUAAUACAUGCCAGUCGAGCGAACAGAUGAGGAGCUUGCUCCUCUGACGUUAGCGGCGGACGGGUGAGUAACACGUGGAUAACCUACCUAUAAGACUGGGAUAACUACGGGAAACCGGAGCUAAUACCGGAUAAUAUAUUGAACCGCAUGGUUCAAUAGUGAAAGACGGUUUUGCUGACACUUAUAGAUGGAUCCGCGCCGCAUUAGCUAGUUGGUAAGGUAACGGCUUACCAAGGCAACGAUGCGUAGCCGACCUGAGAGGGUGAUCGGCCACACUGGAACUGAGACACGGUCCAGACUCCUACGGGAGGCAGCAGUAGGGAAUCUUCCGCAAUGGGCGAAAGCCUGACGGAGCAACGCCGCGUGAGUGAUGAAGGUCUUCGGAUCGUAAAACUCUGUUAUUAGGGAAGAACAAAUGUGUAAGUAACUAUGCACGUCUUGACGGUACCUAAUCAGAAAGCCACGGCUAACUACGUG